UACGUAGGUGGCAAGCGUUAUCCGGAAUUAUUGGGCGUAAAGAGCGCGCAGGUGGUUGAUUAAGUCUGAUGUGAAAGCCCACGGCUCAACCGUGGAAGGUCAUUGGAAACUGGGGAACUUGAGUGCAGAAGAGGAGAGUGGAAUUCCAUGUGUAGCGGUGAAAUGCGUAGAUAUAUGGAGGAACACCAGUGGCGAAGGCGACUCUCUGGUCUGUAACUGACGCUGAGGCUCGAAAGCGUGGGGAGCAAACAGGAUUAGA
rnacentral:rRNA from 1 species